GAGGAAUCCCCAUGAAUCCUGGCGUUUUGUAUAAUGGCAAACACUAAGAAGUAAGAUAGAAAGAGUGAAAUCCUAUUGACACUGUUGAGUCUGGACACCAUCCUAAAAAUGUCCCAUUUCACUAAUUGGAAGGGCAUCCAAGUAAGGAGAAGCUUGAUGCCAUAUGACAACAUCAGCUAAAGAAAUCAAGCCUUUUGCAAAUAGCUCUACAUGAUGUUUCUGCUAAGUGUGCCGUAUUGAUGGAGGAGGGAAAGAAAGAAGGUGUUUUAUCUUUAAGCCUCAUUUAGCUCACAGGAUGGCUGCUCACCUCAGGACAUCACAUCUACAUUCCAGCAAAGGGAUUGAAAUUCAACACAUCGCACACCUUUUCAAGCCACUAUCAUUGGAUGCUGCCACUUUCCCUGGGACCUGUUUAUCCACCAUUAAUCUCUUCAAGUCUGACCACCAACAAACCUGUGGGAUGAAGCUGGGAAUUGUCUUCUCCAAUAGCAAAGAGCUUCCUAAUGCAUGACGACAUGCAAAGAUUGGUGCUUCCCUGAGACCUGCCCACUAGUCACCACAUGCAGACAAUGGACACUUCACACCUCACUGAUGUGAACCUCCAGGAUUGACCCUUGUCUUCCACAGAGCUGGAUUUGUGAAAGGAUGACAGCAACCACAAGAAAAAGAAAUCAGUGAGCCACAUUAAAACGCCUUUAUUCCCUGCAACAGUUAAAGCAACAAAAUCUAAUGACAUGAAAUAAACACUGCAAAACUG
rnacentral:lncRNA from 1 species